rnacentral:rRNA from 1 species
CCUACGGGUGGCAGCAGUGAGGAAUAUUGGUCAAUGGACGAGAGUCUGAACCAGCCAAGUAGCGUGAAGGAUGACGGCCCUAUGGGUUGUAAACUUCUUUUAUAUGGGAAUAAAACGUUCUACGCGUGGGAUUUUGUAAGUAUCAUAUGAAUAAGGAUCGGCUAACUCCGUGCCAGCAGCCGCGGUAAUACGGAGGAUACGAGCGUUAGCCGGAUUUAUUGGGUUUAAAGUGAGCGUAGGUGGUUUGUUAAGUCAGGUGUGAAAGUUCGAGGCUCAACCGUGAAAUUGCAGUUGAUACUGGGUGUCUUGAGAGUGCUAGAAGUAUGCGGAAUGCGUGGUGUAGCGGUGAAAUGCAUAGAUAUCACACAGAACUCCGAUUGCGAAGGCAGCAUACCGGCGCCCGUCUGACGCUGAGGCACGAAAGCGUGGGGAUCGAACAGGAUUAGAUACCCCAGUAGUC